AUGGCAACAUCCAAGUCUACUCGACUAGUCAACCAACAUAAUAUCAUUAUAGUUGCGACACUUAACACUCUUGGUCCACCAAGAGAGGCUCUACCUCUUCUAACAUUAGGAACUGAUCCAGUUCUAGUGACUUCUCCUUCCAUUCCAACUCCUCAAAAUCCAGGAACUGAUCCAGUUCUAGUGACUUCUCCUUCCAUUCCAACUCAUCAGAAUCCACUUCCUUUGUUUGUUGACCAUAGCUCAUUCCACAUCCUCUAG